rnacentral:rRNA from 1 species
UAAUUUGCCUUAUAAUUUGAGGCUAGAAUGAAUGGUUUGAAGAAGGUUAAUCUGUCUCCAUCUUAUUUUUUAGAAUUUAAUUUUUAAAGUGAAAAAGCUUAAAUUUUUUAAAGGGACGAGAAGACCCUAAUGAGCUUAUAAUUUUAUUAUCAUUAUUUAAAACAUUUAGGUGGAGGGAUAUAAAUUUUAAUUGGGGUGAUUAAGGAAUAAAUUGUGUAUAGUAACUUCCUUAAACUAGGUAUUUGUAGAUAAAGUAACCAAUAUAAUAUUGCUUAUAAUAUAGUUACCAUAGGGAUAACAGCGUAAUUUGUUUAGAGAGUUCUUAUUGAAAAACGAGAUUGUUACUUCGAUGUUGGAUUAAAGUAACCCUAAGGUGCAGAAGCUU